rnacentral:rRNA from 1 species
UACGUAGGGCGCAAGCGUUGUCCGGAAUUAUUGGGCGUAAAGAGCUCGUAGGCGGCUUGUCACGUCGGGUGUGAAAGCCCGGGGCUUAACCCCGGGUCUGCAUUCGAUACGGGCUAGCUAGAGUGUGGUAGGGGAGAUCGAAUUCCUGGUGUAGCGGUGAAAUGCGCAGAUAUCAGGAGGAACACCGGUGGCGAAGGCGGAUCUCUGGGCCAUUACUGACGCUGAGGAGCGAAAGCUAGGGGAGCAAACGGG